CCAUUCACUCCCUGCGCCAGGCUCUGUGCUGGGAUCCAGCCUCAACAGACUCAUUCAUUGCUAGACGCGGACAACGUCCCGUAAACAAAGAACGCUCAGACAUUGUGGUUUGUGCUAUAAUAAGUGGGAGAAAGAGCUAAUUCUAAUUCUGCCUGGAGGAAGGGCAUUGCAAGUCAUGGAAUUUGUACUGUCUAGGGGACUGCAUAUUGGAGCUGGAAGAGGGUUUUUCCAGAGGAAGUAACUGGAGAUGAGGUGGGACGGGGCAGGCUGGGACGAAGAAUUUGGGCUUCUUGAUGUUGGCAAUCGGGACCCCGCUGAGAAAUGCGAGCAGUUCUGUGUUGAAGUCAGAACACCUGCCACUAGCAAUUUGUACAACUUUGGGAAAGUUUCUCUAGGGGACCCCGCUUCCACAUCUAUAAAUCAGAGUACCCACUUCACAGUUUGCUGUGAGGCCUGUGUGACAGAGGAAUGACUGAUUCGUCACCUAUAGAGCAGGGUUGUGAGAUAAAGAUGUUUGUGUAUGAAAGGUUAAGCCGUUCUCCUCUGCUACGUGGUGUAAAGAUCCCAGGUGGGUUGUACCUUCUGAAAACGUGGGCGGGUUCUUCGCGCUGCCCCUCCCUCUUAACCCCUCUCCUCUCCCCAGUCCUACCCUCUCUUCCUUCUUCCUUAUUUGUGUUCUUUCUUGGGAACAAAUGACAUAUCCAGCAGAGAGUGACGCUCAAUAAAUGAGACUGUACGACGAUUCAAUACUCAGGAAAAGAACGUGCUGUAUGCAUUCAAGUUAAAGGGCUGUAAAUAUUUUCGUAAUUCUAACAGAACUUUGCCCUCUUCUGCGAUCUCAGUGUGUGCUCGGUGCUGACUUCAUCCCCUCCCAUAAAGAUACUGUGCGUACGCGGUGGAGCCCUUGAAACCCUGCCCUUCUCAGCCCUAAUCCUCGCUCUUUAGUCCUGCACACUUCCUUCUACCCUAUGCGCGCGCUAGGUGGAGUCUCCGGUCCUUAGUAAAGGGAAGGCUUCUUCGCCCCCUGGUGGUCAUAAGUGGAAAGGAGUCUGAAAAGGGCCGUACGAAUCGGGAGUAAGGAUCUAGGAUGGCCAUUCAGCCUCUGCCGGAACACAUCCCGGGAUGGAACAUCCUAGUCCUCCUGGGAAAAGGCAGAAGUCUGGGUUCCACUUGCGAGUUGUGUACAAUAAACUGAAGAAAAUCAGGAAUCCAGGCGCAGCUUAGGUGGGUGCCUCUGUUUCGAGAUCUCUUACGAGACUACAAUGAAAGUCUAAGCUGGGACUACAGCCUCAUUUCAUGGCUUGACUGUGGAAGGAUCUGCUUCCAAGGUCACUCAUGUGGUUGUUGGCAGGAAUCAGUCCUCAGGUGCUGUUGGACUUGGUUCCGUGCUGGCUAUUGGCUGGAGGCUGUCCUCAGUUCCUUGCCGUGUGGACCUCUCUGUAGGGCAGCUCACAACAUGGCAGAUGGCUUCCAUCAGAGCAAGGAGGUGAGAAAAACAGAGAGAACGAGAAAGACAGAGAAAGAGAUGGAUGGAAGCCAAAGUGUUUUUGCAAUCUGACCUCAGAUGUGGCAUCCCGUCUCUUUUGUCAUAUUCUGUUCAUUAAAAGCAAGUCAUUAGGUUCAGCUCACACUCAAGGUGAGGGGACUACAUGACGGAAUGAAGACCAGGAGCCAUCUCAGUGGCUCCCUAGGACACAGCUCAAAUCUGCUCUUUCACCCCGUGUCAGACCUGGACAGCUCUGACCCAUUCUCCAAGCCUCAGAGUAGAUGCUUCACCCUCCAGGAUUGAGUUAAUGGUCCUUCGAGCAUGCCUCUGUGACACCCUGGACUUCUCCAUCUAGCCCCCACCACAGCAUGUCAUUACCUAGCCACUGGUCUGCCUCCUGCCCCUUCUGUAAGCUCUGUGAGGACAGCCACCUUGUCUCUUGUCUUCACUGAUGUGGACCCAGACCCAAGCAUAGGGCCAAAACAUACUGGGCACUCGGGGUAUGUUUACUAAAUUUAUUAAACGACAGUUCUUAUAAUAUGUCUUUGCUGUGUCUUUCUUUUGAUUAAAAUUUAUCAGUAGCUUCUCGUUACAAAGAAUAGAGAGUCCAGACUCUCCUUAGAGUAGCAUGCAAG
ensembl:lncRNA